rnacentral:lncRNA from 1 species
AUCAAUCUCUUCGACCAACUCAACGAGUUCUUGACAUCAAUGAACGCUCCUGAUUUGGGUAGGUGAGAACUGAACCACUUGUAGAACAAAGGCGCACAACAAUUCACCAAUCCUCCUUUUCUAUUCUCAUUCCUGUGAUGCACCGAAUGAAAGAAAUCUCCUAGUAAGGUUGGCACCGGAUUCCCCAACACAAAAAGGCGUACUGCGUCCGUGUCCACAAAUUUAGCAACAUUAGGGAAUAGGACAAUCCCAUACACGCAGAGAGCCAACACAGCAUUGAAACCUCUCUGAUCACCAUCUUCAAGUUUCUUC